GGUGGCCAUGCAGAUACCCCUGUGCUUUCAGUUCUCAGCCCUCUGCUGCACCCCCACAUCAGCCCCGGCUCUGAGACAUGUCAGACAGAGCAGGGCUCCUCCAAACACAGCAGUAGCCAGGACAGACAGACCGACAGACACCCCAAAUCUAUGCCCAAAUCAAGUGACCUCCCGGGCUUUCGUUCGCUAUCGCAUCCAUUUCCAUGGAAACGCUUUCCAUGGGCUUACGGCGCCCUGCCAACCUUGGCUAAUCUUCCAAAGCCCAAACACGGGGUUAGGGGCUUUUUUGAACAAUGUGUUUUUAUUUUUGGAGAGGAAGGUGCCAUCUGGAGCAGCGGGCGAGGCGCUCCGAACGGCACGAGGGACAGGAUGCAAAGGUUACAUGGUAUCAAUUAAAUCUACCCUGCAGCCCAACAUGGUAUCUGCAAUCACCCGGCACGCGGUGACUCCUUCGUUACCAAGGCCUGGCCAAGGUGGUGUCAGCUACGUGACACACUGCGAGCAAACUGGUGUGACUUGGGGAGGCACAGAGGGCAGCAGAGUCAGUCCCUACCAGGGGCUCAGGCCCAGCUGUAUUUGGGGGAGGGGGGGAAUAGGGUGCAGGAACCGAAGGCCUGAGCUGCCUCCUGGCCAGUCCAAACAGAGGGGCAUUUGUAGGAAAGGCUGCAGCUCCAGGGGACCAGAGUCUAGCUGCACUGGAGAUUCCUGGGCUGAGCACAGGGGUUCUGCUCGUUUCCUGGCACAAGGACAGAUGAUCAGCACGAAGGGUGGAAAGUCCAAACUGAGCAAAACAAAAGUCUUUUCGCCCCAUGUUUAA
rnacentral:lncRNA from 1 species